rnacentral:rRNA from 1 species
AUUGAACGCUGGCGGCAGGCCUAACACAUGCAAGUCGAGCGAGUGGCGGACGGGUGAGUAAUGUAUGGGGAACUGCCUGAUGGAGGGGGAUAACUACUGGAAACGGUGGCUAAUACCGCAUACCAUCAGAUGUACCCAGAUGGGAUUAGCUAGUGGGUGGGGUAAAGGCUCACCAAGGCGACGAUCCCUAGCUGGUCUGAGAGGAUGACCAGCCACACUGGGACUGAGACACGGCCCAGACUCCUACGGGAGGCAGCAGUGGGGAAUAUUGCACAAUGGGCGCAAGCCUGAUGCAGCCAUGCCGCGUGUAUGAAGAAGGCCUUCGGGUUGUAAAGUACUUUCAGCGGGGAGGCGUUACCCGCAGAAGAAGCACCGGCUAACUCCGUGCCAGCAGCCGCGGUAAUAC